rnacentral:misc_RNA from 1 species
AAGUCGUAACAAGGUUUCCGUAGGUGAACCUGAAGGAUCAUUAACAACAUAACCUAGUAGAACGGAAAAAAACUUAUCCGACCUUGCCUAAAAAAAUAAAAAAAAACCCCGUGAACAUUCAUUUAACCCGAUAUGCGUAAUAGCAUGCGGCAAGGCAUGAUUUCUUGUACUGAGCUACCCGAAGCAGGGCGCACAAUGUCUGACAGUGGCAUUGCUGUGGGAAGGGUAGUACGCUCAACGUUUGCUGGAGGCCACCACGGCCGACAACCAGUGCAUAGAGCCUAGGGCCAUCUGGUUAAUUACAAGGGUGAAAACCCUAUGUAACCUAUUGACCCUAGAUACCACGCUCAAUAUUAACCCCUUCAACGAUCCUUUAGGCUCGCCUAACGGCUUGUAGCCCUUUUUAACAACCGUGGAUAUCUCGGAUCUC